rnacentral:lncRNA from 1 species
CAUGUCAGGUAGUCUACUGGUCAGAAAGUGUACAGGUCAGGUAGUGUACAGGUCAGGUAGUGUACAGGUCAGGUAGUGUACAGGUCAGGUAGUGUACAGGUCAGAUAGUGUACAGGUCAAGUAGUGUACAGGUCAGAUAGUGUACAGGUAAGAUAGUGUACAGGUCAGGUAGUGUACAGGCAAGAUAGUGUACAUGUCAGGUAGUCUACUGGUCAGAAAGUGUACAGGUCAGGUAGUGUACAGGUCAGGUAGUGUACAUGUCAGGUAGUCUACUGGUCAGAAAGUGUACAGGUCAGGUAGUGUACAGGUCAGGUAGUGUACAGGUCAGGUAGUGUACAGGUAAGAUAGUGUACAGGUCAGGUAGUGUACAGGUCAGGAAGUGUACAUGUCAGGUAGUCUACUGGUCAGAAAGUGUACAGGUCAGGUAGUGUACAGGUCAGGUAGUGUACAUGUCAGAUAGUCUACUGGUCAGAAAGUGUACAGGUCAGGUAGUGUAAAGGUCAGGUAGUGUACAGGUCAGGAAGUGUACAGGUCAGGUAGUGUACAGGUAAGAUAGUGUACAGGUAAGAUAGUGUACAGGUCAGGUAGUGUACAGGUCAGGAAGUGUACAGGUCAGGUAGUGUACAGGUCAGAUAGUGUACUAGUCAGGUAGUGUAGAGGUCAGGUAGUGUACAGGUCAGAUAGUGUACUAGUCAGGUAGU